UGGGGGAUAUUGCACAAUGGGGGAAACCCUGAUGCAGCGACGCCGCGUGUAGGAAGACGGUCCUCUGGAUUGUAAACUACUGUCUUCGGGGACGAUAAUGACGGUACCCGAGGAGGAAGCUCCGGCUAACUACGUGCCAGCAGCCGCGGUAAUACGUAGGGAGCGAGCGUUGUCCGGAUUUAUUGGGUUUAAAGGGUGCGUAGGCUGUUAUGUAAGUCAGCGGUGAAAUACCUAAGCUCAACUUAGGGGCUGCCGUUGAUACUGCAUAGCUGGAAUAUGGUUGCUGUUGGCGGAAUGUGUAGUGUAGCGGUGAAAUGCUUAGAUAUCACGAAGAGCUCCAAUUGCGAAGGCAGCUUGCUGGACUGUAACUGACGCUGAUGCUCGAAAGUGUGGGUAUCAAACA
rnacentral:rRNA from 1 species